rnacentral:rRNA from 1 species
GAUGAACGCUGGCGGCGUGCCUAAUACAUGCAAGUCGAGCGAACAGACGAGGAGCUUGCUCCUCUGACGUUAGCGGCGGACGGGUGAGUAACACGUGGAUAACCUACCUAUAAGACUGGGAUAACUUCGGGAAACCGGAGCUAAUACCGGAUAAUAUAUUGAACCGCAUGGUUCAAUAGUGAAAGACGGUUUUGCUGUCACUUAUAGAUGGAUCCGCGCCGCAUUAGCUAGUUGGUAAGGUAACGGCUUACCAAGGCAACGAUGCGUAGCCGACCUGAGAGGGUUGUCCGCCACCACGGGACCUGGACACGGGCCCAGCCCCUCCGGGGGGGCGGAGUGGGGAAUUCCCCCGAAAGGGCCAAAGCCUGAAGGGACCACCCCCGGUGGGGUAAGAAAGUUUUUCGUAUCUAAAACCUUUUUUAUUGGGAAAAAAAAAAUGUGAAAGUAAUUAGCCCCUCCUUGACGUUCCCUAAAAAAAAACCCACGCCUAACUCCGUC